AACAUAGAGGAGGGUAGCUCUCCGGGAACAGGGUUGGAGAGAAAACAUAGAGGAGGGUAGCUCUCCGGGAACAGGGUUGGAGAGAAAACAUAGAGGAGGGUAGCUCUCCGGGAACAGGGUUGGAGAGAAAACAUAGAGGAGGGUAGCUCUCCGGGAACAGGGUUGGAGAGAAAACAUAGAGGAGGGUAGCUCUCCGGGAACAGGGUUGGAGAGAAAACAUAGAGGAGGGUAGCUCUCCGGGAACAGGGUUGGAGAGAAAACAUAGAGGAGGGUAGCUCUCCGGGAACAGGGUUGGAGAGAAAACAUAGAGGAGGGUAGCUCUCCGGGAACAG